rnacentral:rRNA from 1 species
ACGGAGGGGGCAAGCGUUGUUCGGAAUUAUUGGGCGUAAAGGGCACGCAGGCGGCUAGGCAAGUUGGUGGUGAAAGCCCUCGGCUCAACCGAGGAAUUGCCCCCAAAACUGCCUGGCUUGAGUCCCGGAGAGGGUGACGGAAUUCCCAGUGUAGCGGUGAAAUGCGUAGAUACUGGGAGGAACAUCAGUGGCGAAGGCGGUCACCUGGACGGGUACUGACGCUCAUGUGCGAAAGCGUGGGUAGCAAACAGG